rnacentral:rRNA from 1 species
GAUGAACGCUAGCGGCAGGCUUAACACAUGCAAGUCGAGGGGUAGAAGCAGCUUGCUGCUUUGAGACCGGCGCACGGGUGCGUAACGCGUAUGCAAUCUACCUUUUACAGAGGGAUAGCCCAGAGAAAUUUGGAUUAAUACCUCAUAGUAUGUGAGAAUCGCAUGGUUUUCACAUUAAAGUUCCAACGGUAAAAGAUGAGCAUGCGUCCCAUUAGCUAGAUGGUAAGGUAACGGCUUACCAUGGCGACGAUGGGUAGGGGUCCUGAGAGGGAGAUCCCCCACACUGGUACUGAGACACGGACCAGACUCCUACGGGAGGCAGCAGUGGGGAAUUUUGGACAAUGGACGCAAGUCUGAUCCAGCCAUUCCGCGUGCAGGAUGAAGGCCCUCGGGUUGUAAAACUGCUUUUGUACGGAACGAAAAGGUUUCUAUUAAUACUAGGAGCUCAUGACGGUACCGUAAGAAUAAGCACCGGCUAACUACGUGCCAGCAGCCG